ACACGACUCUCGACAAUGGAUAUCUCGGCUCUCGCAUCGAUGAAGAGCGCAGCGAAAUGCGAUACGUGGUGCGAAUUGCAAAAUCCCGCGAACCAUCGAGUCUUUGAACGCAAGUUGCGUCCGAGGCCAAUCGGUCGAGGGCACAUCCGCCUGGGCGUCAAGC
rnacentral:rRNA from 1 species